UGCAGUCGAGCGGUAGCACAGAGAGCUUGCUCUCGGGUGACGAGCGGCGGACGGGUGAGUAAUGUCUGGGAAACUGCCUGAUGGAGGGGGAUAACUACUGGAAACGGUAGCUAAUACCGCAUAAUGUCGCAAGACCAAAGUGGGGGACCUUCGGGCCUCAUGCCAUCAGAUGUGCCCAGAUGGGAUUAGCUAGUAGGUGGGGUAACGGCUCACCUAGGCGACGAUCCCUAGCUGGUCUGAGAGGAUGACCAGCCACACUGGAACUGAGACACGGUCCAGACUCCUACGGGAGGCAGCAGUGGGGAAUAUUGCACAAUGGGCGCAAGCCUGAUGCAGCCAUGCCGCGUGUAUGAAGAAGGCCUUCGGGUUGUAAAGUACUUUCAGCGGGGAGGAAGGCGAUAAGGUUAAUAACCUUGUCGAUUGACGUUACCCGCAGAAGAAGCACCGGCUAACUCCGUGCCAGCAGCCGCGGUAAUACGGAGGGUGCAAGCGUUAAUCGGAAUUACUGGGCGUAAAGCGCACGCAGGCGGUCUGUCAAGUCGGAUGUGAAAUCCCCGGGCUCAACCUGGGAACUGCAUUCGAAACUGGCAGGCUAGAGUCUUGUAGAGGGGGGUAGAAUUCCAGGUGUAGCGGUGAAAUGCGUAGAGAUCUGGAGGAAUACCGGUGGCGAAGGCGGCCCCCUGGACAAAGACUGACGCUCAGGUGCGAAAGCGUGGGGAGCAAACAGGAUUAGAUACCCUGGUAGUCCACGCCGUAAACGAUGUCGAUUUGGAGGUUGUGCCCUUGAGGCGUGGCUUCCGGAGCUAACGCGUUAAAUCGACCGCCUGGGGAGUACGGCCGCAAGGUUAAAACUCAAAUGAAUUGACGGGGGCCCGCACAAGCGGUGGAGCAUGUGGUUUAAUUCGAUGCAACGCGAAGAACCUUACCUGGUCUUGACAUCCACAGAACUUAGCAGAGAUGCUUUGGUGCCUUCGGGAACUGUGAGACAGGUGCUGCAUGGCUGUCGUCAGCUCGUGUUGUGAAAUGUUGGGUUAAGUCCCGCAACGAGCGCAACCCUUAUCCUUUGUUGCCAGCGGUCCGGCCGGGAACUCAAAGGAGACUGCCAGUGAUAAACUGGAGGAAGGUGGGGAUGACGUCAAGUCAUCAUGGCCCUUACGACCAGGGCUACACACGUGCUACAAUGGCAUAUACAAAGAGAAGCGACCUCGCGAGAGCAAGCGGACCUCAUAAAGUAUGUCGUAGUCCGGAUUGGAGUCUGCAACUCGACUCCAUGAAGUCGGAAUCGCUAGUAAUCGUAGAUCAGAAUGCUACGGUGAAUACGUUCCCGGGCCUUGUACACACCGCCCGUCACACCAUGGGAGUGGGUUGCAAAAGAAGUAGGUAGCUUAACCUUCGGGAGGGCGCU
rnacentral:rRNA from 1 species